UAGGGAAUCUUCGGCAAUGGACGAAAGUCUGACCGAGCAACGCCGCGUGAGUGAAGAAGGUUUUCGGAUCGUAAAACUCUGUUGGUAGAGAAGAACGUUGGUGAGAGUGGAAAGCUCAUCAAGUGACGGUAACUACCCAGAAAGGGACGGCUAACUACGUGCAGCAGCCGCGGUAAUACGUAGGUCCCGAGCGUUGUCCGGAUUUAUUGGGCGUAAAGCGAGCGCAGGUGGUUAUUAAGUCUGGUGUAAAAAGGCAGUGGCUCAACCAUUGUAUGCAUUGGAAACUGGUAGACUUGAGUGCAGGAGAGGAGAGUGGAAUUCCAUGUGUAGCGGUGAAAUGCGUAGAUAUAUGGAGGAANCACCGGUGGCGAAAGCGGCUCUCUGGCCUGUAACUGACACUGAGGCUCGAAAGCGUGGGGAGC
rnacentral:rRNA from 1 species